rnacentral:rRNA from 1 species
GACGAACGCUGGCGGCGUGCUUAACACAUGCAAGUCGAACGGAAAGGCCCUGCUUUUGUGGGGUGCUCGAGUGGCGAACGGGUGAGUAACACGUGAGUAACCUGCCCUUGACUUUGGGAUAACUUCAGGAAACUGGGGCUAAUACCGGAUAGGAGCUCCUGCUGCAUGGUGGGGGUUGGAAAGUUUCGGCGGUUGGGGAUGGACUCGCGGCUUAUCAGCUUGUUGGUGGGGUAGUGGCUUACCAAGGCUUUGACGGGUAGCCGGCCUGAGAGGGUGACCGGCCAAAUUGGGAUGGGGAAACGGCCCAGACCCCUAGGGGGGGGAGCGGGGGGGAAUAUUGCACAAGGGGGGGAAGCCUGAUGCAGCAACGCCGGGGGGGGGAUGGGGGCCUUCGGGUUGAAAACCGCUUUCGCCUGUGACGAAGGGUGAGUGGCGGUAAUGGGAAAAGAAGCACCGGCUAACUACGU